rnacentral:rRNA from 1 species
UUUCCUACGGGAGGCAGCAGUGAGGAAUAUUGGUCAAUGGUCGGGAGACUGAACCAGCCAAGCCGCGUGAGGGAUGAAGGUACAGAGUAUCGUAAACCUCUUUUGUCAGGGAACAAAGGCGGGGACGCGUCCCCGGAUGAGUGUACCUGAAGAAAAAGCAUCGGCUAACUCCGGGCCAGCAGCCGCGGUAAUACGGAGGAUGCGAGCGUUAUCCGGAUUUAUUGGGUUUAAAGGGUGCGUAGGCGGGCUUUUAAGUCAGCGGGAAAAAUUCGGGGCUCAACCCCGUCCGGCCGUUGAAACUGGGG